GACGAACGCUGGCGGCGUGCCUAAUACAUGCAAGUCGAACGCUGACGUCGGAGCUUGCUCCUCUGGAUGAGUUGCGAACGGGUGAGUAACGCGUAGGUAACCUGUCUGGUCGCGGGGGAUAACUCUUGGCAACGCUAGCUCAUACCGCAUAACAUUUGUUGUUGCAUGACAUUUACUUAAAAGAUGCAAUUGCAUCACUACCAGAAGGACCUGCGUUGUAUUAGCUAGUUGGUGGGGUAACGGCUCAUCAAGGCGACGAUACAUAGCCGACCCGAGAGGGGGAGCGGCCACACUGGGACGGGGGCACGGCCCAGACUCCUACGGGAGGCAGCAGUAGGGAAUCUUCGGCAAUGGACGGAAGGCUGACCGGUCAACGCCGCGUGAGUGAAGGAGGUUUUCGGGUCGGAAAACUCUGGUGUAAGAGAAGGACGAGUGGGAGAGUGAAAAGUGCACAUUGUGACGGUACCUUACCAGAAAGCGACGGCUAACUACGUG
rnacentral:rRNA from 1 species